rnacentral:rRNA from 1 species
GACAGAGGCCUCAAGCGUUAGGCGGAAUCACUGGGCUUAAAGCGUGUGUAGGCGGACUUCUAAGUGCCUUGUGAAAUCCCACGGCUCAACCGUGGAACUGCUGGGCAUACUGGGAGUCUUGGGCCAUUCAGGGGCAACUGGAACAAGCGGUGGAGCGGUGAAAUGCGCAGAUAUCAGGAGGAACACCGGUGGCGAAGGCGGGUCUCUGGGCCGAUACUGACGCUGAGGAGCGAAAGCGUGGGGAGCGAACAGG